rnacentral:rRNA from 1 species
AUUGAACGCUGGCGGCAGGCCUAACACAUGCAAGUCGAGCGAGCGGCGGACGGGUGAGGAAUGUAUGGGGACUGCCCGAUAGAGGGGGAUAACUACUGGAAACGGUAGCUAAUACCGCCUACUAUCGGAUAACCCAUAUGGGAUGAGCUAGUAGGUGGGGUAAGGGCUCACCUAGGCGACGAUCCCUAGCUGGUCUGAUAGGAUGAUCAGCCAAACUGGGACUGAGACAAGGCCCAGAAGCUGACGGAUGAAGCGGUGGGGAAUCUUGCACAAUGGGCGCCAGCGUGGUGAAGCGAUGCGGCGUGUAUGAAGGAGGCCCUAGGGUUGUAAAGUACUUUUAGUCGCGAAGCGGUACCCCCAGAAGAAGCAGCGGCUAACUCCGUGCCAGCAGCCGCGGAAAUCC